GGGAACGUCUACAAGAGGUCUCUGAGUGCACCCCCUCCCCUUCCUUUGAGUUGUUCCCUCUCCCCCACCUUGUUCUCUUUCGUUGGUUGGCCGCCACACCCGCCGCCGCUUCCUCACGCUUCAGGACAACCACAAACUGCGCCGCUCAUCUCCUUCACGUCGUUUGGUGUUGCGUUGCAGCCUUGUCUCCAUCUAAUGAUGUGCCGCUCGAUUCACCAGACGAUGACGUGCACGCCGGUGAGCAAAGCCCCACCACAUCGCCCUCAACACAGUCGUAAGCCGGUUCUUCAACACCUCUCCUAUAGCCGUCGUGCGUGGUAGCUCACUAGAGGCCAAGCAAAUCUUUGUCCAUCUCCAUUCUUCUUUCAUAUCCUAUUCUUAGAAUUUGAAUAUUAGAGGAGUUGGAGCUGCUGUCCAGCCGUUUAAGAACCCAAAAUAGAGUGUUUUGACACAACUUUGGUAAAUUUCUAAACUUCUUGGAGUCAAUCUUAAAUACCUGUUUGAUUCUAGUGCUAUCUUUAAGUAACCGAUGAUGGUGGACGGUUGAUUUGAACUAAGAAGGUACUCAGGAUGUUGCCCAUUGAAAUCAAGAGUACUAUGUUGAGUUCUUGGUAACGUUUGGAAUAGUUUCGAUAAAUCAUCUUUGGUUUUUAUUGUGGUUUGAGCUACACAAGAAGAAUUAAAAUAUACAGUUGGAUUCGUUUGAAUGUUAACUCAAUUUCUAACAAGUUUAAUGAAUAAAAUUUGAGCAGAUUGUGAGGCUAAGUGAAUGAUUUCUGAAGUAGAAAAUAGAUCAUAGACUUUUCACGUAAUUCCAAGAAGCCUCUGGUUUUUCCCAAAUUAAAAACCCUCAUUCCUCUCGCAAAUAAGCCAUCUCAAAACGCGAAGAAGACCAUCUUUGGACGAUGUCGUUCCCGUCACCACCACUGCCCUCUCAUUCCCGUCUCCUCACUCUAGUACUGUGGCAACCUCCUCUAUCGAACGACAAACCUCCUCUAUGGUAACUUGUUUAAUUCAUGCCUGUCAUCUCCAAUCCGCCGCAAUCUCUUCAACAUUCAAACCACGACCGUCACCUCCUCUGCUGGUAAAUCAUUAUUUCCUUUUCUCUUUCUCUCUCUGCGCAAAGUUGUUCUCCUGUUACUAUUUCCCUCAACUCCAUGAGUCGUCGGUAAGGUUUGAAAUUUUCAAUUUCGUUUGAAUUCCCUCUUUUGGACAAACACCCCUACGUGAUGUAUGUGAAAUAAAUGUUGGAUUUAUCUUUAACUUAAAUUAGACCAAAAAAUGUUAAGACUUGAAUCUGGAGGAGAGCAAGACAAAAAGGGAGAAGGUCCUAAAAAUGUCCUUCAUGUGUUUAGGUUUAUGAGAUAUUUAUUUAAGGAAAUUUCGAUUUAGUAUAUAUUCUUUUAUUAUAUGACACCUCCCAUUGUCUUAAUUUUAUAUAAUACUAUUUGGUGAUGUGUUUUGUUGGUUUUUCUGGUGUGCAUUUUUUUAUGAGAAGAUUGUUCUUUGGUGUGUUUAGGGAAACCUAAUAACUUCAUCCUUAGUUGAGAAAGAGUUCUCUAACUCUAACUUAGGAGGAGCUUAAAGGUAAGUAUUUGUUGAUGGCAGUAGACAGUGGGCCUUUAUUUAUCAAAUUGUGGGGUCUAAUUGAAUUUCUUUAACUUCAAAUUUUGCUUCAAUCUUUCUAUUUUAGUAUUUUUAGAACACUUACUUUUGGUCAUUGAUGUUAAUUUUUCUUUAUUUUUGUCUUUACACUCUUAAAUUAAUUAAUUUUUGGCAUUUCGACGUCUUCGCUAUAUAAAGGUUAGUACUUACUUUUAUCUACUCAAGACUCUUUCUUAUUUUAACUUUUUCCAUUUUAUUUGGGUUUUUAAUUACAAGUUCUUUUGAAAAUUCUUUAUUUAUCUAUUAACGUUGAGAAGAUCAUAAACCGUUCUCUACAUUUUUUAUCAUUGAAAUUUUGGUCUGUUAUUUAUUUAUUUAUUAUUUUAUUUUAUUUUAUUUUUGCUUCUUUCACUAUGUGGGAGAAGAAAAAUGUAGAAGUAAAACAUUUUAUGUUUUAUUUUAUAUUUUACUAAAAAUACUUUUUAGCAAGAGUAAUACAUAAAUGUAACAAGAGUAAUGUAGUGGAAAAAAAUUUGCGUAUGGAAAGUGUUUGUGAAAAUGCCUGAGAGAUGUGGACUGUGGUUUUGUUUUAUACAAUUUGUUUUCUAAGCAUAUUUUGAUUGUAUUGCUGGUAAUGGACUUUUAGAAUCCAACCCAUUUGCUUUAAUUGCACAAAUUGCUAGUGAAAGGAUUUGAAUGCAACUCAUGCAAUCUAAAUAAUGGAUUGUUAUUAUUAUUAGCCUAUCUGUCCAAUUCUAGUGUCAAUUAUUACAAACUUCCUGCCUUGAGUUUGGUAUUUACCCACUAGCUUUUCAUGGUUGAAUUUUCAGAUCUAUUUGGACUAUCAACCUAGAUUUGUAACUUCAAUGUUGGGGCUUAGGCGAAAGAAAAUACUAGAACCCAAAUUUGAACUGAACUGUAUACUUAUUAAUCUCUAAAAUGUUUGGUAGUGUGACCUACAACAGUUUGACAACGAUUUUAAGGAUUUAGAAAUGGUGGAGUACUUUGAAAGGAAGCCAUCAAAAUUUCAAGGAAACGAGCAAACAUAGUAAAGAAGAAAAUGGGAAAUGGUGAAAUGAACGUGUUGCACUAAAAUCCAAGUUUUGACUGUUUCCAUCUCUUUGCUGCCUUCUCAUAUUUCAAAGAGAGAGAGUUCGUUUCUGGUUUUUGUUAUUGUUUUUUUUAUCCAUAUUGAUUUUUUUUAUAUCAAGCAAUUAAGUUGAAAUAGCAUUCAAGUAUGUUAAUUGAAAAAUGUUGAUCAUUGAUUUAAUUCUUGUUUUUUGUUUAUAACGAUCGUGUAGUUCUAUUCUCUAUUGUUGUGCAAGGACUACUCUGGUCAGUUACUGUUCUAUAUCUUUGCGGAAGACAUGAUUCUGAUAAUGGUGGCUUGAACAUUUGACUUGAGAAUGAUUACAACAUUGCGUCAUGGAAAAUAUUCACGUAGCGACCCAAGACCAAACUUUGUUUCAGCCCAAUCGUUCUUAUGGAUCUUCAAUUUUUUUUUUUUUUUUUUGUUUUUUUUUUGUGUGUGUAUAGUUUAAACUUUUGUAAUUCAUCACGGGGUGGUUAGUCUCAUCUAGAGAGACACAGUGGACUUGUGUUCUGGAAGAUCCCUAAUUAGUUUGAAUACUUAUGUGUGUAAUACGUAGUUUGCCCCUUAAAUUCUACUUGAAGUAUUCAAUCGGUCUGGAUGUGUGUGGUGCGACACACUAGUUGCAUGUAGUAUCUGAAUCUCGUUUAAAAUUUUAUAGAAGUGGAAAUGACUACUUUUUUAGGUGUGGU